rnacentral:rRNA from 1 species
GACGAACGCUGGCGGCGUGCUUAACACAUGCAAGUCGAACGGAAAGGCCCUGCUUUUGUGGGGUGCUCGAGUGGCGAACGGGUGAGUAACACGUGAGUAACCUGCCCUUGACUUUGGGAUAACUUCAGGAAACUGGGGCUAAUACCGGAUAGGAGCUCCUGCUGCAUGGUGGGGGUUGGAAAGUUUCGGCGGUUGGGGAUGGACUCGCGGCUUAUCAGCUUGUUGGUGGGGUAGUGGCUUACCAAGGCUUUGACGGGUAGCCGGCCUGAGAGGGUGACCGGCCACAUUGGGACUGAGAUACGGCCCAGACUCCUACGGGAGGCAGCAGUGGGGAAUAUUGCACAAUGGGCGGAAGCCUGCUGCAGCAACGCCGCGUGCGGGAUAACGGCCUUCGGGUUGUAAACCGCUUUCGCCUGUGACGAAGCGUGAGUGACGGUAAUGGGUAAAGAAGCACCGGCUAAAUACGUG